GCUUGUCUCAAAGAUUAAGCCAUGCAUGUCUUAGUGUAAAUAACUCUUAUGAAACUGCGAAUGGCUCAUUAAAUCAGUUAUCAAAUACGUGAUGGUCGCCUACUACAUGGAUAACUGUGGUAAUUCUAGAGCUAAUACAUGCAUUCAAGCCCCGACUUCUGGAAGGGGUGUAUUUAUUAGAUAAAAAUCAACUUUGUUGGUGAAUCAUAAUAACUUCUCGGACCGCAUGGCCUCGUGCUGGCGGUGCUUCAUUCAAAUAUCUGCCCUAUCAACUGUCGAUGGUAGGAUAGAGGCCUACCAUGGUUGCAACGGGUAACGGGGAAUAAGGGUUCGAUUCCGGAGAGGGAGCCUGAGAAACGGCUACCACAUCCAAGGAAGGCAGCAGG
rnacentral:rRNA from 1 species